rnacentral:rRNA from 1 species
AACGAACGCUGGCGGCAGGCCUAACACAUGCAAGUCGAGCGCCGUAGCAAUACGGAGCGGCAGACGGGUGAGUAACACGUGGGAACGUGCCCAAAGGUACGGAACAACUCCGGGAAACUGGAGCUAAUACCGUAUGUGCCCGAGAGGGGAAAGAUUUAUCGCCUUUGGAUCGGCCCGCGUCUGAUUAGCUAGUUGGUGAGGUAACGGCUCACCAAGGCGACGAUCAGUAGCUGGUCUGAGGGGAUGGCCAGCCACACUGGGACUGAGACACGGCCCAGACUCCUACGGGAGGCAGCAGUGGGGAAUCUUGCGCAAUGGGCGAAAGCCUGACGCAGCCAUGCCGCGUGAAUGAUGAAGGUCUUAGGAUUGUAAAAUUCUUUUACCAGGGACGAUAAUGACGGUACCUGGAGAAAAAGCCCCGGCUAACUUCGUGCCAGCCGCCGCCGUAACAC